UUUGAUCCUGGCUCAGAACGAACGCUGGCGGCGCGCCUAACACAUGCCAGUCGAGCGAGAACGGUGCCUUCGGGUGCUUAAUAAACCGGCGCACGGGUGAGUAACACGUGGGUAAUCUGCCCUUGAGUGGGGGAUAACUGUCCGAAAGGACAGCUAAUACCGCAUAAGACCACAGGAUCCCAGGGUCCAGAGGUCAAAGGGGGUCAUCUUCGGAUGGCACCCGCUCAUGGAUGAGCCCGCGGUCCAUUAGAUUGUUGGUGGGGUAAUGGCCUACCAAGUCGGCGAUGGAUACCUGGUCUGAGAGGAUGAUCACCCACACUGGAACUGAGACACGGUCCCGACUCCUACAGGAGGCCGUAGUGGGGAAUUUUGCGCAAUGCGCGAAAGCCUGAACCAACGACGCCACGUGGGUGACAAAAGCCUUCGGGUCGUACAGCCCUGUCAAGGGGGACAAACGGGGA
rnacentral:rRNA from 1 species